AACGCUGGCGGCAGGCUUAACACACGCAAGUCGAGCGGGGAAAGGUAGCUUGCUACCUAACCUAGCGGCGGACGGGUGAGUAAUGCUUAGGAAUCUGCCUAUUAGUGGGGGACAACAUUCCGAAAGGAAUGCUAAUACCGCAUACCCCCUACGGGGGAAAGCAGGGGAUCUUCGGACCUUGCGCUAAUAGAUGAGCCUAAGUCAAAUUAGCUAGUUGGGGGGGUAAAGGCCUACCAAGGCGACGAUCUGUAGCGGGUCUGAGAGGAUGAUCCGCCACACUGGGACUGAGACACGGCCCACACUCCUACGGGAGGCAGCAGUGGGGAAUAUUGGACAAUGGGCGAAAGCCUGAUCCAGCCAUGCCGCGUGUGUGAAGAAGGCCUUUUGGUUGUAAAGCACUUUAAGCGAGGAGGAGGCUACUUGGAUUAAUACUCUAGGAUAGUGGACGUUACUCGCAGAAUAAGCACCGGCUAACUCUGUGCCAGCAGCCGCGGUAAUACAGAGGGUGCGAGCGUUAAUCGGAUUUACUGGGCGUAAAGCGUGCGUAGGCGGCUUUUUAAGUCGGAUGUGAAAUCCCUGGGCUUAACUUAGGAAUUGCAUUCGAUACUGGGAAGCUAGAGUAUGGGAGAGGA
rnacentral:rRNA from 1 species